UCGGGAAUUUUGGGCAAUGGGGGAAACCCUGACCCAGCAACGCCGCGUGAAGGAUGAAGUAUUUCGGUAUGUAAACUUCGAAAGAAUAGGAAGAAUAAAUGACGGUACUAUUUAUAAGGUCCGGCUAACUACGUGCCAGCAGCCGCGGUAAUACGUAGGGACCAAGCGUUGUUCGGAUUUACUGGGCGUAAAGGGCGCGUAGGCGGCAUGACAAGUCACUUGUGAAAUCUCUGGGCUUAACCCAGAACGGCCAAGUGAUACUGUCGCGCUAGAGUGCAGAAGGGGCAAUCGGAAUUCUUGGUGUAGCGGUGAAAUGCGUAGAUAUCAAGAGGAACACCUGAGGUGAAGACGGGUUGCUGGGCUGACACUGACACUGAGGCACGAAAGCGUGGGGAGCAAACAGGAUUAGAUACCCAUGUAGUCCCUGAGCGGGCUGGCAAGGCGCAU
rnacentral:rRNA from 1 species